CCCGGCAGAAGAUAAGAGACAGGCAAGGGAGGCCCUAUGGCAGGGUCCAGGCCUGGCAGGAAGCCUCUCACUCAAUUCCCGUCUUCACCGGGCCUGGCAGGAGACAGCAGUUGAAAUAAAUGGAAGAUGAAGAGAGAAAGUGGGAGAAGAAAGCGAAACUGGGACAUUUCAAAAGCAAGAGCAAGAGUGGGAUAACAGAGGAUUAAUCUUGCCCUACCAAAUUGGGACAGUUGGAAGGUAGGAAUGGAAAAGGCCAGAAAAAGACGUCCAGGCAAGGGUCUGCCAUUAAAAAGACCUCAGAGAAAUCAGCUAGAAAACACCUUGGGAUGUUGAGUGCCUCUACCAAUCAACAGAAACUGGACUAGAUCACAUGUAUCAGUGGAACCCAGCAAAAGGAAACUUAAUAAAUCUAGUAAAACCAUAA